rnacentral:rRNA from 1 species
UUAUUGGAGAGUUUGAUCCUGGCUCAGGACGAACGCUGGCGGCGUGCCUAAUACAUGCAAGUCGAGCGAGUCUCUUCGGAGGCUAGCGGCGGACGGGUGAGUAACACGUAGGCAACCUGCCUCUCAGACUGGGAUAACAUAGGGAAACUUAUGCUAAUACCGGAUAGGUUUUUGGAUCGCAUGAUCCGAAAAGAAAAGGCGGCUUCGG